AGAGUUAGUUCAAUCUCUCUCCCUUAUUGUAGCCUUGAAUAAAGGCUUUGCCUUUCAGACUCUGUCCUGCCCAUUUUUCUUUGACAUGUUCAGAUGUUGGCAAGGCUGAAAACUUCAGGGGAUCUGGUUGUGAUAAUCCAGACGGAGUCUUCCUUUGUUGCCAAGGCUGGAGUGCAGUGGUGCAAUCUGGGCUCACCGCAACCUCCGCCUCCUGGGUUCAAGCGAUCCUCCUGCCUUAGCCUCCCAAGUAGGUACAUGCCCCAAGGAAAUGAGGCUACAUGAGGACGCAGCAAGAAGGCGGCUGUCUGCAAGCCAGAAAGAGAGCCCUCCCCAGAGAAUGAACCAGCUAGAACCACGAUCUUGGACUUCCAGCCUCCAGAACUGUUGGAAAGUUCUCCUUUGAGAACCCACUGCUGCAGUGGCGAUCUCUGGAACAGGUGGAUAGGUGUGCACUAAAUAAAGCAAGCAAAAGAAGAUGUGCUGGGAGAAUCUUGGUGAUGGGGCAAAGGGUGCUUGCUAUAAAAUUCUUUCAACGUUUCCACAUGUUUGAAAACUUUUAUAAAGUUGAGAAAAUACAAUAAAA